rnacentral:lncRNA from 1 species
UCAGUUGAUUUUACCUGGAUCAUCAACCAUAACCUUACAAUCGAUUAUUUUAUCUCAUGCUGAUAAUCAAAUCUGAUUGAUUUUUGUGGAGAUACCAAUCAAAACCAACACCUAUCCAAUUUCUUAAGCUUGGACCAACACCAAGUUUCUACAUCCAAAAAAUUUGUUACAACAAAACAAAUAGAAAUAUACAAGGAAG